GAUGCCUUGACUGAUUCUUUACCAUCCUCAUUUACAGAUAAGGCAAAGAAAGAUUAGAGAAACUAAACAUCCUAAGAUUUACGACUAGAAAACAAUGGAGCUGGGAUUUGAAGCCAGAUCUGUAUGGCCUGAUUUCUCAACCUCAUGUCUAUGCCAAAAAGCUAACAUUAUCAGGUGUUUUGACAGUCACUUCCUUCUGGAUCCCUGACUGCUCUGCUGCCUUUUUUAUGCCACCACAGUUCCCUGCAUGCAAUGACUUAGCUGUGAGUUCUUGAAGGGCAUAGAAAUGUCUGCUUUACCUCUAAUGCCUGGAUCUUAGGAAGUGCUCCUUAAAGUUUAGUGAAUUGCAGAUUGACUGCUGGGGUCCUGUUGUUAAUCUUACAAUCCUGUGAAUCUCUGUUGGAGAUGGUAUUUUAUUCACAUGCGUUUCCCUAAGCCUGAACACAGCACCUGACCCGGAUGAGGUAUUUAAG
rnacentral:lncRNA from 13 species